GACAGAGGGUGCAAACGUUGCUCGGAAUCACUGGGCGUAAAGGGCGUGUAGGCGGGAAGGAAAGUCAGAUGUGAAAUCCCUGGGCUCAACCCAGGAACUGCAUUUGAAACUCCCUUUCUUGAGUGUCGGAGAGGAAAGCGGAAUUCCUGGUGUAGAGGUGGAAUUCGUAGAUAUCAGGAGGAACACCGGUGGCGAAGGCGGCUUUCUGGACGGACAAC
rnacentral:rRNA from 1 species